UACGAACCGUACAAACGUUAUUCGGAAUCACUGGUCUUAAAGGGUGCGUAGGCGGCCAUGUAAGUGGGGUGUGAAAUCCCUCGGCUCAACCGAGGAACUGCGCUCCAUACUGCAUGGCUUGAGGGAGACAGGGGUAAGCGGAACUGAUGGUGGAGCGGUGAAAUGCGUUGAUAUCAUCAGGAACACCGGUGGCGAAAGCGGCUUACUGGGUCUCUUCUGACGCUGAGGUACGAAAGCUAGGGGAGCGAACGGG
rnacentral:rRNA from 1 species